rnacentral:rRNA from 1 species
AUACAACAUCGACUAUGUCGAAUAAAAUUCUAGAUAGAGUUAUGAUAAUGACAUUUUCUAUCUAUGUGUCUUGACCAAAUCACGUGCCAGCCGUCGCGGUAAUACGUGGGAGACUAGUGUUAUUCAUCUUUAAUAGGUUUAAAGGGUACUUAGACGGUCCAUUAAGCCCCAAAGGGUACUAAGAGACUAGAGUUUGAUGAGAGGGGGGGAGUACUAGAGAGUGUAGAGAUGAAAUUCUGUCAUACCUUACUUGGAACAGGCAACGGCGAAAGCAACCCCUUAUGUAAAAACUGACGUUGAAGGACGAAGGCUUGGGACACCANCAGGAUUAAAUACCCCAGCAGUCCUUGCAGACAAUGAUGAAUGUCAUAGAUUGGAAUUAAAUAUCUUUUUUUANNAUAUCUUUUUUU